UACGUAGGGUGCAAGCGUUGUCCGGAAUUAUUGGGCGUAAAGAGCUCGUAGGCGGUUUGUUGCGUCGGCUGUGAAAUCCCGAGGCUCAACCUCGGGUCUGCAGUCGAUACGAGCAAACUAGAGUGUUGCAGGGGGAGACUGGAAUUCCUGGUGUAGCGGUGAAAUGCGCAGAUAUCAGGAGGAACACCGGUGGCGAAGGCGGGUCUCUGGGCAACAACUGACGCUGGAGGAGCGAAAGCGUGGGGAGCAAACAGG
rnacentral:rRNA from 1 species